AGAUUGAACGCUGGCGGCAUGCCUAACACAUGCAAGUCGAACGGCAGCGCGGGUAGCAAUACCUGGCGGCGAGUGGCGGACGGGGUGAGGAAUACAUAGGAAUCUACCCUGUCGUGGGGGAUAACGUAGGGAAACUUACGCUAAUACCGCAUACGACCGAGAGGUGAAAGCGGCGGACCGCAAGGCGUCGCGCGGCUGGAUGAGCCUAUGUCCGAUUAGCUAGUUGGCGGGGUAAGAGCCCACCGAAGGCGACGAUCGGUAGCUGGUCUGAGAGGAUGAUCAGCCACACGUGGGACUGAGACACCGCCCAGACUCCGUACGGGAGCAGCAGGUGGGAAUAGUAGGACAAG
rnacentral:rRNA from 1 species